rnacentral:rRNA from 1 species
AGAGUUUGAUCCUGGCUCAGAUUGAACGCUAGCGGGAUGCUUUACACAUGCAAGUCGAACGGCAGCGACAUAGCCAAAUCCUUCGGGAGGCGAUUAUGGUCGGCGAGUGGCGGACGGGUGAGUAAUGCAUCGGAAUGUGCCCAGCAGCGGGGGAUAACUACUCGAAAGAGUAGCUAAUACCGCAUAUUCCCUACGGGGGAAAGAGGGGGACCUUCGGGCCUCUCACUGCUGGAGCAGCCGAUGUUAGAUUAGCUAGUUGGUGGGGUAAAGGCCUACCAAGGCAACGAUCUAUAGCUGGUUUGAGAGGACGACCAGCCACACUGGGACUGAGACACGGCCCAGACUCCUACGGGAGGCAGCAGUGGGGAAUUUUGGACAAUGGGGGCAACCCUGAUCCAGCAAUCCCGCGUGUAUGAUGAAGGCCUUCGGGUUGUAAAGUACUUUAGACAGGGAAGAAACAGCCUAGGUUAAUAGCCUAGGUCAAUGACGGUACCUGUAGAAUAAGCACCG